UACGUAGGGUGCGAGCGUUGUCCGGAAUUAUUGGGCGUAAAGAGCUUGUAGGCGGUUUGUCGCGUCUGCUGUGAAAAUCCGGGGCUCAACCCCGGACUUGCAGUGGGUACGGGCAGACUAGAGUGUGGUAGGGGAGACUGGAAUUCCUGGUGUAGCGGUGAAAUGCGCAGAUAUCAGGAGGAACACCCGUGGCGAAGGCGGCUCGCUGGGACGGUACUGACACUGAGACGCGAAAGCGUGGGGAGCGAACAGG
rnacentral:rRNA from 1 species